rnacentral:tRNA from 1 species
UCCCUAGUGGCUCAGUUGGUAAAGAAUCUGCCUGCAAUGCAGAAGACCCAGGUUCAAUCCCUGGGUCGGGAA